UCAAUAAGCGGAGGAAAAGAAACUAACAAGGAUUCCCCUAGUAACUGCGAGUGAAGCGGGAAAAGCUCAAAUUUAAAAUCUGACAGUUUUUGCUGUCCGAAUUGUAGCCUAGAGAAGUGUUGUCCGCGCCGGACCGUGUAUAAGUCUCCUGGGAUGGAGCAUCAUAGAGGGUGAGAAUCCUGUGUUUGACAUGGACUACCGGUGCAUUGUGGCAUGCUCUCAAAGAGUUGAGUUGUUUGGGAAUGCAGCUCUAAAAGGGUGGUAAAUUCCAUCUAAAGCUAAAUAUUGGCGAGAGACCGAUAGCGAACAAGUACCGUGAGGGAAAGAUGAAAAGAACUUUGGAAAGAGAGUUAAACAGUAUGUGAAAUUGUUGAAAGGGAAACGCUUGAAGUCAGUCGCAUUGGUUGGGGAUCAGCUUAGUUUAUUUGCUGAGUGUAAUUCCUAAUGGAUGGGUCAGCAUGAGUUUUGAUCGCUGGAGAAAGGCUAUUGGGAAUGUGGCACCUUUGGGUGUGUUAUAGCUCAUGGUUGUAUGCAGCGGUUAGGACUGAGGAAGGCAGCGCGCCGCAAGGACGGGUUUCGACCACGUUCGCGCUUAGGAUGUUGGCAUAAUGGCUUUAAGCGACCCGUCUUGAAACAC
rnacentral:rRNA from 1 species